rnacentral:rRNA from 1 species
UACGUAGGGUGCAAGCAUUAAUCGGAUUUAUUGGGCGUAAAGGGCGCGUAGGCGGGGAGGAAAGUUAAAUGUGAAAUCCCGGGGCUCAACCUCGGAACUGCAUUUAAAACUUCUUCUCUAGAGGAUAAGCGGAGAAAAUGGAAUUCCACGUGUAGCGGUGAAAUGCGUAGAUAUGUGGAGGAACACCGGUGGCGAAGGCGAUUUUCUAGCUUAGACCUGACGCUGAGGCGCGAAAGCAAGGGUAGCAAACAGG